AACGAACGCUGGCGGCAUGCCUAACACAUGCAAGUCGAACGAAGCCUUCGGGCUUAGUGGCGCGCGGGUGCGUAACACGUGGGAAUCUGCCCUUCGGUUCGGAAUAACAGUUAGAAAUGACUGCUAAUACCGGAUGAUGACGAAAGUCCAAAGAUUUAUCGCCGAAGGAUGAGCCCGCGUAGGAUUAGGUAGUUGGUAGGGUAAUGGCCUACCAAGCCGACGAUCCUUAGCUGGUCUGAGAGGAUGAUCAGCCACACUGGGACUGAGACACGGCCCAGACUCCUACGGGAGGCAGCAGUGGGGAAUAUUGGACAAUGGGCGAAAGCCUGAUCCAGCAAUGCCGCGUGAGUGAUGAAGGCCUUAGGGUUGUAAAGCUCUUUUACCAGGGAUGAUAAUGACAGUACCUGGAGAAUAAGCUCCGGCUAACUCCGUG
rnacentral:rRNA from 1 species